GGAUCCUUAGCUCAGCGGAAGAGCGCCUGUCCUACAAACAGGUUGGCCUUGGUUCGAAUCCAAGAGGAUCUA
rnacentral:tRNA from 1 species